AAUAAACAAAAAGGAACUUACUAGAGCAAUUUUAUUUGAACCAUUGGUGAAAAAUUAAAGGUAUUUAAGUGAUAAGCAAUCAAAAACAUAAGUUAUUGGUAAAAUGCAAAUGUUGCACAUAUUUUCAAAAUAAAAGCAAUUUAUUGCUGUGAGAAACCAUUUCUGGUAGUCUCUAGCCUUCCAGACAUAUACCUCAUGCCCCUCAGCUGUUAGAUCUGCUUGGAAUCUGUAUUAGUUUUCUAUUGCUAUAUAACAAAUGACCACAAACUGGGCAAUUUACAACAACGUACAUUUGUUAUCUUGUAGUUUCUGUGGGUAAGGAGUCCAGGCAUGGCUUAGCUGGAUCCUCUACAAGAAUGCAAUCAAGGUGUCAGCUGGGCCUGGGUUCUCAUCUGAAGGUUCAACUGGAGAUGGAUCUGUUUCCAAGCUCACAUCAUUGUCAGCAGCAUUCAGUUCCUGGUGGAUUGCUGGACUGAGGGCCUCAGUUUCUUGCAGACUCUCAGCUCCUCACUGUGUGGUCCUCUCCACAUGACAGCAUACAAAAUGGCAGCUUGCUUCUUCAAAGCCAGCAAGGGAGAGAGAGUCUCCUUAUAUUCCUGGUUGCGAGUGUUGGGUUUUGGAGGAGGUUGAGUUUUGGAGAGGGCCUGGUGUCCACUGGAGAAUCAUCUGCAAAAUUGCUUGGUGUGUGGGGAAAACAAACAAACAAACAAACAAACAAAAACAAAAAACCCUUUAUACAUCUGGGAUCCCAGAAGUGUUUUUCUGUUUGUGCUCAGAAGAGAAAGCGCAUCCCACUCUCCUACUCUGAUUUCGAGACUGUUUCCUGAGGGUGGCAUAUGUUUUCUCACCUUCUGCCAAGCACAGAAAAUGACCACAAAUGGGCCCGGAGAUGGCUUUGAGCUUUGAUCUUUCGGAGCUCAUAUUAAGUAGUUGAAAAAUAUGCCCCAUGAAUCAAUCAAUGGGUCCAAAAGAUUUGAAGCUAAUUCCUCAAAAUGGGAACGAGAUGAUGACUAGGGCACAAAUAUGCUUGAAGUAGCUCAUUUCAGUAAGCCUUGAGAAUAAAGGGGCAUCCCACAGUGCUUUGAGGUCACUGUGUCACAGCCUGGUUGCAAUCAGAAUCACUGGGAACUGUAAAAACACUGAGCUUGAGUCUCAUGUCAGCUGUCUGGGGUGAGUACAGAGAGUUCUAAUGUGCAGCCAAGGCCGAGAAACACUUCUAGAUGAGUGGUUCUCAAAAUUGAGCAGGCAUCUAAAUCACCUAGAAG
rnacentral:lncRNA from 1 species